GAUUCCCCCCCCCCUUCCGUUUUACCAAUGGCCUGACAUGUCAUGGAAGGUAUGGCUGCUAUGAAAGGCUAUGGAUUUAGCCUUCCAAGAAGCCCAUUUCUUCUAAAUAUGAGUAGUCUGGAGCAAAGGGCUAUUAGAUAGGAAAUGUUCAUAAUUACCAGUGGAAUGGAAGGAUUUAUGGUCUGAUCCUGCCAGCUGCAAAAUAUCCGCAACACUAAUCAGUUAAAGGGAGCUGAGGGGACUCAGCACUGUGCAGCUGCAGCACUUCCCUCGAGUUUCUAUUCUGGUGUACCGUCUCAUUUUCAGAGAGCAGCUGCUAACAAUGUACAGGUACAAAAAAAACAAAACAAAACAAAAAACACACACCCUGGAAGCAUCUCCAUUUUGCUUCAUUCCCAUUCUGAUCUCUGGACUGACACUAAAAGGAGCAUUCCAACCAAUAGACUGAGGACCUUCCAAUCUUUACCAGAGACUUUACAAGCCAGCAGUUUAUUCCAUCAGACCUGACCCAAGAUCUUGGAAAUGAAAUUUUAGGGUGUGCUUGCUUCCUGAUCUGGACAAGAACUGGCUGAAAUAUUUGGGAGUACAUGAGGCUGAAGCAUGCUUAGGAUGGGAGAGACAUUUUAACAAGCCUUAGAGGGUCAAACAAUCAUACAAGUUAAGGGUGUUUCUUGCAUGACUUACACUGUAACUUCCCCUCUUAUUUCCUUGCAUUUGUUCUUGACUAUUAAUAUGCUUUCAUUCAUAAAUCCAUAAAACCUCUUUUUAUGAGACAUAUUUCCCAUCAGACCUGUUUUACAUACUCUUUGUACUUGAAACAUAAAUGUUAAGAUGAAAUGUGUUCGACCUGCUUUUAUAGUUCCCUUUAAAAAAUAGAUUAUAUAUAUCUACUU